UUGGAUUCGAGAUAUUCAAAUUAAUUUCCACUUAAAAACCUGCUAAAACAAUGCCUUCAUAUUUUAAAGCUUGACUCCAGUGAAAAUCAUUUUCACAGGAAAACAUAAAAUUUCAAAAGCAUUAGGCUUCGAGUGCUCCCCCUGUGAACUGCUAAAACAGUUUAGCACAUAAUUAUUCACAUUAAGCACCGAUAACAACUUCAUAAAUAAUAUCCAAAUAUGAAGAUCACUCAUAUGUAAUUCCUCAAAAUCCUUAGAGCACCUAAAAAUGUAUCUAAAAAGCAAAUAAGUAUGAAACGCAGCGAAAAAUUAAAAUCGUGCGAUAAUCGUGCGAAUGGUUUUUAUGCCCAGAAUUGUUCAGAAACAAAGUCUGAUGUUUUUAAGCUGCAAAAUCCUUUAUAACUUUCACUUAACACUACGAAAAUUAUGAAAACCAACGCAAGUUUUGCCGAGUUUCUUUGUUUGAGUGAGUUAAAACAUUGGAUUCGAGAUAUUCAAAUUAAUUUCCACUUAAAAACCUGCUAAAACAAUGCCUUCAUAUUUUAAAGCUUGACUCCAGUGAAAAUCAUUUUCACAGGAAAACAUAAAAUUUCAAAAGCAUUAGGCUUCGAGUGCUCCCCCUGUGAACUGCUAAAACAGUUUAGCACAUAAUUAUUCACAUUAAGCACCGAUAACAACUUCAUAAAUAAUAUCCAAAUAUGAAGAUCACUCAUAUGUAAUUCCUCAAAAUCCUUAGAGCACCUAAAAAUGUAUCUAAAAGCAAAUAAGUAUGAAACGCAGCGAAAAAUUAAAAUCGUGCGAUAAUCGUGCGAAUGGUUUUUAUGCCCAGAAUUGUUCAAAAGCAAAGCCUGAUGUUUUAAGCUGCAAAAUCCUUUAUAACUUUCGCUUAACAGUAUGAAAAACUAAAACCAACGCAAGUUUUACCAAGUUUCUUUGUUUGAGUGAGUUUAAAACAUUGGAUUCAAGAUAUUCAAAUUUAUUUCCAUUUAAAAACCUGCUAAAACAAUGCUUUCAUAUUUUAAAGCUUGAGUCCAGUGAAAAUCAUUUUCAAAGGAAAACAUGAAAUUUCAAAAGCAUUAGGCUUCGAGUGCUCCCCCUAUAAACUGCUAAAACAAUUUAGCACACAAUUAUUCCAUUAAGCACCAAUAACAACUUCAUAAAUAAUAUCCAAAUAUGAAGAUAAUUCAUAUGUAAUUCCUUAAAAUCCUUAGAGCACCUAAAAAUGUAUCUAAAAGCAAAUAAGUAUGAAACACGACGAAAAAUUAAAAUCGUGCGAUAAUUGUGCGAAUGGUUUUUAUGCCCAGAAUUGUUCAAAACCAAAAGUCUGAUGUUUUAAACUUCGAAAUCCUUUAUAACUUACACUUAACACCAUGAAAAACAACAAGAAAAUUAAAAUUACGCGAAAUUUAUUUGAAUGUUUUUUAUGCCCAGAAUUGUUCGAAAACAAAGUCUGAUAUUUUGAGCUUCAAAAUCCUUUCUAAGUUACGCUUAAAACUGUGGAGAAAUAAAAAACCAACGCUACUUUUACCUUGUUUCAUUGUUUGAGCAGGUUUAAAACGUUCGAUUCAAUAGAUUCAAAUUCAUUUCCAUUUAAGAACCUUCUAAAACAAUUCUUUCAUAUUUUAAAGCUGGACUAUAGAGAAAAUCAUAUUCGAAGAGAAACAUAAAUUUUCAAAAGCAUUAGGCUUUUAGUUCUCCUUCUAUAAACUGCUAAAACAAGUUAGCAGACCACUAAUCACAUCAGGCGCCAAUAACAACUUCACAAAUAAUAUCGAAAUAUCAAGAUCAUUAACAUGCAAUCUCACAAGUUCCUUAGAGCACCUAGAAAAGUAUCUAAAAGGCAAUAAGUAUGAAACACAAUGAAAAAUUCAAAUCUUGCAAAAAUGGUUUUUAUGCCACAAUUUUGAAAAUUUGCAAAUGCUUUUUUAUGCCCAAAAUUGUUCAAAAAUGAAAUCAGAUGUUUUAAGCUUCAAAAUCCUUUAUAACUUACACUUAGCACUAUGAAAAAUUAAAACCAAUGCAAGUUUUACCAUGUUUCUUAAUUUGAGCAAUUUUAAAACAUCGGAUUCAAGAUAUUCAAAUUCAUUUUCGUUUAAAAUCCUGCCAAAACAAUGCUUUCGUAUUUUAAAGCUUGACUCAAGUGAAAAUCAUUUUCAAAGCAAAACAUAAAAUUCUAAAAGCAUUAGCCUCGAUUGCUCCCUUAUAAACUGCAAAAAUAAUUUAGCACACAAUUAAUCACAUCAAGCACCAAUAACAACUCCACAAAUAAUAUCCAAAUAUGAAGAUCAUUCAUAUGUAAUUCCUCAACUCCUUAGAGAGCCUAAAUUUGUAUCUAAAAGAAAAUAAGUAUGAACACGAUGAAAAAUUAAAAUCGUGCAAUAAUUGUGCGAAUGGUUUUUCUGCCCAGAAUUGUUUAGAAACAAAGUCUGAUGUUUUAAGCUGCAAAAUCCUUUGUAACUUUCGCUUAACACUAUGAAAAAUUAAAACCAACGCAUGUUUUACCAAGUUUCUUUGUUUGAGCAAGUUUAAAACAUUGCAUUCAAGAUUUUCAAAUUCAUUCCCAUUUAAAAACCUGCUAAAACAACGCUUUCUUAUUUUAAAGCUUGACUCCAGUGAAAAUCGUUUUCACAGCAAAACAUAAAAUUUCAAAAGCAUUAGGCUUCGAGUGCUCACCCUGUAAACUGGUAGAAAGCACAUAACAAUAUCCAACUUGACAAAUAAUAUCGAAAUAUGAAUUUUGAUUCAUAUGCAAUUCCUAACCAUCCUUAGAGCACCAAAAAAUGUAUCUAAAAGCAAAUAAGUAUGAAACACGAUGAAAAAUUAAAAUUGUGCAAUAAUUGUGCGAAUGGUUUUUAUGCCCAGAAUUGUUUAGAAACAAAGUCUGAUGUUUUUAGCUGCAAAAUCCUUUAUAACUUUCGCUUAACAGUAUGAAAAACUAAAACCAACGCAAGUUUUACCAAGUUUCUUUGUUUGAGUGAGUUUAAAACAUUGGAUUCAAGAUAUUGAAAUUUAUUUCCAUUUAAAAACCUGCUAAAACAAUGCUUUCUUAUUUUAAAGCUUGACUCUAAUGAAAAUCGUUUUCAAAGCAAAACAUAAAAUUUCAAAAACAUUAGGCUUCUAGUGCUCCCCCUGUAAACUGGUAGAAAGCACCUAACAAUAUCUAACUUGACAAAUAAUAUCCAAAUAUGAAUUUCAUAUUUAUGUAAUUCCUAAACAUCCUUAGAGCACCUAAAUAUGUAUGUAAAAGCAAAUAAGUACGAAAUACAAUAAAAUAUUAAAAUCGUGCAAUAAUUGUGCGAAUAGUUUUUAUGCCCAGAAUUGUUCAGAAACAAAGUCUGAUGUUUUAAGCUGCAAAAUCCUUUAUAACUUUCGCUUAACAGUGUGAAAAACUAAAACCAACGCAAGUUUUACCAAGUUUCUUUGUUUGGGUGUGUUUAAAACAUUGGAUUCAAGAUAUUCAAAUUCAUUUCCAUUUAAAAACCUGCUAAAACAUUUCUUUCAUAUUUUAAAGCUUUACUCCAGUGAAAAUCAUUUUCAAAGGAAAACAUAAAAUUUCAAAAGCAUUAGGCUUCGAGUGCUCCCCCUAUAAACUGCUAAAACAAUUUAGCACACAAUUAUUCACAUUAAGCACCAAUAACAAGUUCAUAAAUAAUAUCCAAAUAUGAAGAUCAUUCAUAUGUAAUUCCUCAAAAUCCUUAGAGCACCUAAAAAUGUAUCUAAAAGCAAAUAAGUAUGAAACACAACGAGAAAUUAAAAUCGUACGAUAAUUGUGCGAAUGGUUUUUAUGCCCAGAAUUAUUCGAAACCAAAAGUCUGAUGUUUUAAACUUCGAAAUCCUUUAUAACUUACACUUAACACCAUGAAAAGCAAGAACAAAAUUAAAAUCACGAGAAAAUUGUUCGAAUGUUUUUUAUGCCCAGAAUUGUUUGAAAACAAAUUCUGAUAUUUUGAGCUUCAAAAUCCUUUCUAAGCUUCGCUUAAAACUGUGGAAAAAUUAAAAAUCAAUGCUAGUUUUACCUCGUUUCAUUGUUUGAGCAGGUUUAAAACGUUCGAUUCAAUAGAUUCAAAUUCAUUUCCAUUUAAAAACUUUCUAAAACAAUUCUUUCAUAUUUUAAAGCUGGACUAUAGAGAAAAUCAUAUCCGAAGAAAAACAUAAAAUUUCAAAAGCAUUAGGCUUUUAGUGCUCCUUUUAUAAACUGCUAAAACAAGUUAGCAGACCACUAAUCACAUCAGGCACCAAUAACAACUUCACAAAUAAUAUCGAAAUAUCUAGAUCAUUAACAUGUAAUCUCACAAGUUCCUUAGAGCACCUAAAAAUGUACCUAAAAGCCAAUAAGUAUGAAACACAACGAAAAAUUCUAAUCUUGCAAAAAUGAUUUUUAUGCCACAAUUUUGAAAUUUUGCAAAUGCUUUUUUAUGCUCAAAAUUGUUUAAAAAUGAAAUCAGAUGUUUUAAGCUUCAAAAUCCUUUAUAACUUACACUUAACACUGUGAAAAAUUAAAACCAAUGCAAGUUCUACCAUGUUUCUUAAUUUGAGCAAUUUUAAAACAUCGGAUUCAAGAUAUUCAAAUUCAUUUCCGUUUAAAAACCUGCUAAAACAAUGCUUUCGUAUUUUAAAGCUUAACUCCAGUGAAAAUCAUUUUCAAAGCAAAACAUAAAAUUCUAAAAGCAUUAGGCUUCGAGUGCUCCUUUUAUGAACUGCUAAAAUAAUUUAGCACACAAUUAAUCAUGUCAGGCACGAAUAACAAUUUCACAAAUAAUAUCCAAAUAUUAAGCUCAUUCAUAUGUAAUUCCUCAACUCCUUAGAGCGCCUAAAUUUGUGUCGAAAAGAAAAUAAGUAUGAAUACAAUGAAAAAUUAAAAUCAUGCAAUAAUUGUGCGAUUGGUUUUUCUGCCCAGAAUUGUUCAAAAACAAAGUCUGAUGUUUUAAGCUGCAAAAUCCUUUAUAACUUUCGCUUAACACUAUGAAAAACUAAAACCAACGCAAGUUUUACCAAGUUUCUUUGUUUGAGUGAGUUUAAAACAUUGGAUUCAAGAUAUUCAAAUUCAUUUCCAUUUAAAAACCAGCUAAAACAAUGCUUUCAUAUUUUAAAGCUUAACUCCAGUGAAAAUCAUUUUCAAAGGAAAACAUAAAAUUUCAAAAGCAUUAGGCUUCGAGUGCUCCCCCUAUAAACUGCUAAAACAAUUUAGCACACAAAUUAUUCACAUUAAGCACCAAUAACAACUUCAUAAAUAAUAUCCAAAUAUGAAGAUCAUUCAUAUGUAAUUCUUCAAAAUCCUUAGAGCACUUAAAAAUGUGUCUAAAAGCAAAUAAGUAUGAAAAACAACGAAAAAUUAAAGUCAUGCAAUAAUUGUGCGAAUGAUUUUUAUGUCCAGAAUUGUUCAAAACCAAAAGUCUGAUAUUUUAAACAUCGAAAUCCUUUAUAACUUACACUUAACACCAUGAAAAACAACGACAAAAUUAAAAUCACGCGAAAAUUGUUCGAAAGUCUUUUAUAUCCAGAAUUGUUCGAAAACAAAGUCUGAUAUUUUGAGCUUCAAAAUCCUUUCUAAGUUACACUUAAAACAGUAGAAAAAUUAAAAACCAAUGCUAGUUUUACCUUGUUUCAUUGUUUGACCAGGUUUAAAACAUUCGAUUGAAAAAUGAAAUAGGUUGUUUUAAGCUUCAAAAUCCUUUAUAACUUACACUUAACACUGUGAAAAAUUAAAACCAAUGCAAGUUUUGCCAUGUUUCUUUAUUUGAGCAUGUUUAAAACAUCGGAUUCAAGAUAUUCAAAUUCAUUUCCGUUUAAAAACCUGCUAAAACAAUGCUUUCGUAGUUUAAAGCUUUACUCCAGUGAAAAUCAUUUUCAAAGCAAAACAUAAAAUUAUAAAAGCAUUAGGCUUCGAGUGCUCCCCUUAUAAACUGCUAAAAUAAUUUAGCACACAAUUAAUCACAUCAAGCACCAAUAACAACUUCACAAAUAACAUCCAAAUACGAAGAUCAUUCAUAUGUAAUUCUUCAACUCCUUAGAGCGCCUAAAUUUGUAUCUAAUAGAAAAUAAGUAUGAACACGAUUAAAAAUUAAAUCGUGCAAUAAUUGUGCGAAUGAUUUUUAUGCCCAAAAUUUUUCAGAAAAAAAGUCCGAUGUUCAUAAAGCUUCAGUGAAAAUCAUUUUCAAAGAAAAACAUAAAAUUUCAAAAGCAUUAGGCUUCGAGUGCUCACCCUAUAAACUAUUAAAACAAUUUAGCACACAAUUAUUCACAUUAAGCACCAAUAACAACUUCAUAAAUAAUAUCCAAAUAUGAAGAUCAUUCAUAUGUAAUUCCUCAAAAUCCUUAGAGCACCUAAAAAUGUAUCUAAAAGCAAAUAAGUAUGAAACACAGCGAAAAAUAAAAAUCGUGCGAUAAUUGUGCAAAUGAUUUUUAUGUCCAGAAUUGUUCAAAACCAAAAGUCUGAUAUUUUAAACUUCGAAAUCCUUUAUAACUUACACUUAACACCAUGAAAAACAACAACAAAAUUAAAAUCACGCGAAAAUUGUUUGAAUGUUUUUUAUGCCCAGAAUUGUUCGAAAACAAAGUUUGAUAUUUUGAGCUUCAAAAUCCGUUCUAAGUUACACUUAAAACAGUGGAAAAAUUAAAAACCAACGCUAAUUUUACCUUGUUUCAAUGUUUGAGCAGGUUUAAAACGUUCGAUUGAAAAAUGAAAUUGGUUGUUUUAAGCUUCAAAAUCAUUUAUAACUUAUACUUAACACUAUGAAAAAUUAAAACCAAUGCAAGUUUUACCUUGUUUCUUUAUUUGAGCAUGUUUAAAACAUCGGAUUCAAGAUAUUCAAAUUCAUUUUCGUUUAAAAACCUGCUAAAACAAUGCUUUCGUAGUUUAAACCUUUACUCCAGUGAAAAUCAUUUUCAAAGCAAAACAUAAAAUUAUAAAAGCAUUAGGCUUCGAGUGCUCCCCUGAUAAACUGCUAAAAUAAUUUAGCACACAAUUAAUCACAUGAAGCACCAAUAACAACUUCACAAAUAAUAUCCAAAUAUGAAGAUCAUUCAUAUAUAAUUCCUCAACUCCUUAGAGCGCCUAAAUUUGUAUCUAAAAGAAAAUAAGUAUGAACACGAUGAAAAAUUAAAAUCGUGCAAUAAUUGUGCGAAUGAUUUUUACGCCCAAAAUUGUUCAGAAAGAAAGUCUGAUGUUUUAAGCUCCAAAAUCCUUUAUAACUUGCAAUUAACACUAUGAAAAAUUAAAACCAAUGGGAAGUUUUAUAUGUUUCUUUGUUUGAGCAAGUUUAAAACAUUGGAUUCAAGAUUUUCAAAUUCAUUUCCAUUAAAAACCUUCUAAAACAAUGCUUUCUUAUUUGAAAGCUUUACUCUAGUGAAAAUCGUUUUCAAAGGAAAACAUAAAAUUUCAAAAGCAUUAGGCUUCGAGUGCUCCGCCUGUAAACUGGUAGAAAGCACAUAACAGUAUCCAACUUCACAAAUAAUAUGCAAAUAUGAAUUUCAUUCAUAUGCAAAUUGUAAACAUCCUUAGAGCAACUAAAAAUGUAUGUAAAAGCAAAUAAGUAUGAAACACAACGAAAUAUGAAAAUCGUAUAAUAAUUGUGCGAAUGGUUUUUAUGCUCAGAAUUGUUCAGAAAGAAAGUCUGAUGUUUUAAGCUACAAAAUCGUUCAUAACUUUUGCUUAACACUAUGAAAAACUAAAACCAACGCAAGUUUUACCAAGUUUCUUUGUUUUAGUGAGUUUAAAACAUUGGAUUCAAGAUAUUCAAAUUCAUUUCCAUUUAAAAACCUGCUAAAACAACGCUUUCAUAUUUUAAAGCUUAACUCCAGUGAAAAUCGUUUUCAAAGCAAAACAUAAAAUUUCAAAAGCAUUAGGCUUCGAGUGCUCCCCUGUAAACUGGUAGAAAGCACAUAACAAUAUCAAACUUCACAAAUAAUAUCCAAAUAUGAAUUUCAUUCAUAUGUAAUUCCUAAACAUCCUUAGAGCACCUAAAAAUGUAUCAAAAAUAAAAUAAGUAUGAAACACAACGAAAUAUUAAAAUCAUGCAAUAAUUGUGCGAAUGGUUUUUAUGCCCAGAAUUGUUCAGAAACAAAGUCUGAUGUUUUAAGCUGCAAAAUCCUUUAUAACUUUCACUUUACACUAUGAAAAACUAAAACCAACGCAAGUUUUACCAAGUUUCUUUGUUUGAGUGAGUUUAAAACAUUAGAUUCAAGAUAUUCAAAUUUAUUUACAUUUAAAAACCUGCUCAAACAAUGCUUUCAUAUUUUAAAACUUGACUCCAGUGAAAAUCAUUUUCAAAGGAAACAUAAAAUUUCAAAAGUAUUAGGUUUCGAGUGCUCCACCUAUAAACUGCUAAAACAAUUUAGCACACAAUUAUUCACAUUAAGCACCAACAACUUCACAAAUAAUAUCCAAAUAUGAAGAUCAUUCAUAUGUAAUUCCUCAACUCCUUAGAGCGCAUAAAAUUUGUAUCUAAAAGAAAAUAAGUAUGAACACAAUGAAAAAUUAAAAUCGUGCAAUAAUUGUGCGAAUGGUUUUUAUGCCCAGAAUUGUUUAGAAAUAAAGUCUGAUGUUUUAAGCUGCAAAAUCCUUUAUAACUUUCGCUUAACACUAUAAGAAACUAAAACCAAUGCAAGUUUUACCAAGUUUCUUUGUUUGAGCAAGUUUAAAACAUUGGAUUCAAGAUUUUCAAAUUCAUUUCCAUUUAAAAACCUGCUAAAACAAUGCUUUCUUAUUUUAAAGCUUGACUCCAGUGAAAAUCAUUUUCAAAGCAAAACAUAAAAUUUCAAAAGCAUUACGUUUCGAGUGCUCCCCCUGUAAACUGGUAGAAAGCACAAAAUGAUAUUCAACUUCAGAAAAAUAUCCAAAUAUGAAUUUUAUUCAUAUGUAAUUCCUAAACAUCCUUAGAACACCUACAAAUGUAUCUAAAGGCAAAUAAGUAUGAAACACAAUGAAAUAUUAAAAUAGUGCAAUAAUUGUGCGAAUGGUUUGUAUGCCCAGUAUUAUUCAGAAACAAAGUCUGAUGUUUUUAGCUGUAAAAUCUUUUAUAACUUUCGCUUAACAGUAUGUAAAACUAAAACCAACGCAAGUUUUACCAAGUUUCUUUGUUUGAGUGAGUUUAAAACAUUGGAUUCAAGAUAUUCAAAUUCAUUUCCAUUUAAAAACCUGCUAAAACAAUGCUUUCUUAUUUUAAAGCUUGACUCUAAUGAAAAUCAUUUUCAAAGGAAAACAUAAAAUUUCAAAAGCAUUAGGCUUCGAGUGCUCCCCAUAUAAACUGCUAGCAAACAAUUAUUCACAUUAAGCACCAAUAACAACUUCAUAAAAAAAUCCAAAUAUGAAGAUCAUUCAUAUGUAAUUCCUUAAAAUCCUUAGAGCACCUAAAAAUGUAUCUAAAAGCAAAUAAAUAUGAAACACAGCGAAAAAUUAAAAUCGUGCGAUAAUUGUGCGAAUGGUUUUUAUGCCCAAAAUUGUUCAAAAGCAAAAGUGUAAUGUUUUAAACUUCGAAAUCCUUUAUAACUUACACUUAACACCAUGAAAAACAACAACAAAAUUAAAAUCACGCGAAAAUUGUUCGACUGUUUUUUAUGCCCAAAAUUGUUCGAAAAUUAAGUCUGAUGUUUUGAGCUUCAAAUCCUUUCUAAGUUACGCUUAACACUGUGAAAAAUUAAAAACCAAUGUUAGUUUUACCUAGUUUCAUUGUUUGAGCAGGUUUAAAACGUUCGAUUCAAUAGAUUCAAAUUCAUUUGCAUUUAAAAACCUUCUAAAACAAUUCCUUCAUAUUUUAAAGCUGGACUAUAGAGAAAAUCAAAUUCGAAGAAAAACAAAAAAAUUCAAAAGCAUUAGGCUUUUGCUGCUCCUUCUAUAAACUGCUAAAACAAGUUAGCAGACCAGUAAACACAUCAGGCGCCAAUAACAACUUCACAAAUAAUAUCCAAAUAUCAAGAUCAUUCACAUGUAAACUCACAAGUUCCUUAGAGCACCUAAAAAUGUAUCUAAAAGCCAAUAAGUAUGAAACACAACGAAAAAUUCAAAUGUUGCAAAAAUGGUUUUUAUGCCACAAUUUUGAAAUUUUGCAAAUGGUUUUUUCUGCCCAAAAUUGUUCAAAAAUGAAAUCGGAUGUUUUAAGCUUCAAAAUCCAUUAUAACUUACACUUAACACUGUGAAAAAUUAAAACUAAUGCAAGUUUUAUCAUGUUUUUUUAUUUUAGCAAGUUUAAAACAUCGUAUUCAAGAUAUUCAAAUUCGUUUUCGUUUAAAAACCUGCUAAAACAAUGCUUUCAUAUUUUAAAGCUUUACUCCAGUGAAAAUCAUUUUCAAGGCAAAACAUAAAAUUAUAAAAGCAUUAGGCUUCGAGUGCUCCCCUUAUAAACUGCUAAAAUAAUUUAACACACAAUUAAUCACAACAAGCACCAAUAACAACUUCAUAAAUAAUAUCCAAAUAUGAAGAUCACUCAUAUGUAAUUCCUCAAAUCCUUAGAGCACCUAAAAUGUAUCUAAAAAGCAAAUAAGUAUGAAACACGAGCGAAAAAUUAAAAUCGUGCGAUAAUCGUGCGAAUGGUUUUUAUGCCCAGAAUUGUUCAGAAACAAAGUCUGAUGUUUUUAAGCUGCAAAAUCCUUUAUAACUUUCACUUACACUACGAAAAUUAAAACCAACGCAAGUUUUACCAAGUUUCUUUGUUUGAGUGAGUUUAAAACAUUGAUUCAAGAUAUUCAAAUUAAUUUCCAUUUAAAAACCUCUAAAACAAUGCUUUCAUAUUUUAAAAGCUUGACUCCAGUGAAAAUCAUUUUCACAGGAAAACAUAAAAUUUCAAAAGCAUUAGGCUUUCGAGUGCUCCCUGUAAACUGUAAAACAGUUUAGCCAUAUUUAUUCAAUAAGCACGAUAACAACUUCAUAAAUAAUAUCCAAAUAUGAAGAUCACUCAUAUGUAAAUCCUAAACAUCCUUAGAGCACCUAAAAAUGUAUCUAAAAGCAAAUAAGUAUGAAACACAACGAAAUAUUAAAAUCGUGCAAUAAUUGUGCGAAUAGUUUUUAUGCCCAGAAUUGUUCAGAAACAAAGUCUGAUGUUUUAAGCUGCAAAAUCCUUUAUAACUUUCGCUUAACACUAUGAAAAACUAAAACCAACGCAAGUUUUACCAAGUUUCUUUGUUUGAGUGAGUUUAAAACAUUGGAUUCCAGAUAUUCAAAUUCAUUUCCAUUUAAAAACCUGCUAAAACAAUGCUUUCAUAUUUUAAAGCUUGACUCCAGUGAAAAUCAUUUUCAAAGGAAAACAUAAAAUUUCAAAAGCAUUAGGCUUCGAGUGCUCCCCAUAUAAACAGCUAAAACAAUUUAGCAAACAAUUAUUCACAUUAAGCACGAAUAACAACUUUAUAAAUAAUAUCCAAAUAUGAAGAUCAUUCAUAUGUAAUUCCUCAAAAUCUUUAGAGCACCUAAAAAUGUAUCUAAAAGCAAAUAAGUAUGAAACACAGCGAAAAAUUAAAAUCGUGCGAUAAUUGUGCGAAUGGUUUUUAUGCUCAGAAUUGUUCAAAACCAAAAGUCUGAUGUUUUAAACUUCGAAAUCCUUUAUAACUUACACUUAACACCAUGAAAAACAACAAGAAAAUUAAAAUUACGUGAAAAUUGUUCGAAUGUUUUUUAUGCCCAGAAUUGUUCGAAAACAAUGUCUGAUAUUUUGAGUUUCAAAAUCCUUUCUAAGUUACACUUAAAACUGUGAAAAAAUUAAAAACCAAAGCUAGUUUUACCUUGUUUCAUUGUUUGAGCAGGUUUAAAACGUUCGAUUCAAUAGAUUCAAAUUCAUUUUUAUUUAAAAACCUUCUAAAACAAUUUUUUCAUAUUUUAAAGCUGGGCUAUAGGGAAAAUCAUAUUCAAAGAAAAACAUAAAAUUUCAAAAGUAUUAGGCUUUUAGUGCUCCUUCUAUAAACUGCUAAAACAAGUUAGCAGACCACUAAUCACAUCAGGUGCGAGUAACAACUUCACAAAUAAUAUCCAAAUAUCAAGAUCAUUUACAUGUAAUCUCACAAGUUCCUUAGAGCACCUUAAAAUGUAUCUAAAAGCCAAUAAGUAUGAAACACAACGAAAAAUUCAAAUGUUGCAAAAAUGGUUUUUAUGCCACAAUUUUGAAAUUUUGCAAAUGGUUUUUUCUGCCCAAAAUUGUUCAAAAAUGAAAUCGGAUGUUUUAAGCUUCAAAAUCCUUUAUAACUUACACUUAACACUGUGAAAAAUUAAAACCAAUGUAAGUUUUACAAUGUUUUUUUAUUUCAGCAAGUUUAAAACAUCGGAUUCAAGAUAUUCAAAUACAUUUCCGUUUAAAAACAUGCUAAAACAAUGCUUUCAUAUUUUAAAGCUUGACUCCAGUGAAAAUCAUUUUCAAAGCAAAACAUAAAAUUCUAAAAGCAUUAGGCUUCGAGUGCUCCCUUUAUAAACUGCUAAAAUAAUUUAGCACACAAUUGAUCACAUCAAGCACCAAUAACAACUCCACAAAUAAUAUUCAAAUAUGAAGAUCAUUCAUAUGUAGUUCCUCAACUCCUUAGAGCACCUAAAUUUGUAUCUAAAAGAAAAUAAGUAUGAACACAAUGAAAAAUUAAAAUCUUGCAAUAAUUGUGCGAAUGGUUUUUAUGCCCAGAAUUGUUCAGAAAAAAGUUUGAUGAUUUAAGCUGCAAAAUCCUUUAUAACUUUCGCUUAACACUAUGAAAAACUAAAACCAACGCAAGUUUUACCAAGUUUCUUUGUUUGAGCAAGUUUAAAACCUUGGAUUCAAGAUUUUCAAAUUCAUUUCCAUUUAAAAACCUGCUAAAACAAUGCUUUCUUAUUUUAAAGCUUGACACCAAUGAAAAUCAUUUUCAAAGCAAAACAUAAAAUUUCAAAAGCAUUAGGCUUCGAGUGCUCCCCCUGUAAACUGGUAGAAAGCACAAAACGAUAUCCAACUUCACAAAUAAUAUCCAAAUAUGAGUUUCAUUCAUAUGUAAUUCCUCAAAAUCCUUAGAGCACCUAAAAAUGUAUCUAAAAAAGCAAAUAAGUACGGAACGCAGCGAAAAAUUAAAAUCGUGCGAUAAUCGUGCGAAUGGUUUUUAUGCCCAGAAUUGUUCAGAAACAAAGUCUGAUGUUUUUAAGCUGCAAAAUCCUUUAUAACUUUCACUUAACACUACGAAAAUUAUGAAAACCAACGCAAGUUUUGCCGAGUUUCUUUGUUUGAGUGAGUUUAAAACAUUGGAUUCGAGAUAUUCAAAUUAAUUUCCACUUAAAAACCUGCUAAAACAAUGCCUUCAUAUUUAAAGCUUGACUCCAGUGAAAAUCAUUUUCGCAGGAAAACAUAAAAUUUCAAAAGCAUUAGGCUUCGAGUGCUCCCCCUGUGAACUGCUAAAACAGUUUAGCACAUAAUUAUUCACAUUAAGCACCGAUAACAACUUCAUAAAUAAUAUCCAAAUAUGAAGAUCAUUCAUAUGUAAUUCCUCAAAAUCCUUAAAGCACCUAAAAAUGUAUCUAAAAGCAAAUAAUUAUGAAACACAGCGAAAAAUUAAAAUCGUGCGAUAUUUGUGCGAAUGGUUUUUAUGCCCAAAAUUGUUCAAAACCAAAAGUCUGAUGUUUUAAACUUCGAAAUCCUUUAGAACCUACACUUAACACCAUGAAAAACAACAAGAAAAUUAAAAUCAUGCGAAAAUUGUUCGAAUGUUUUUUAUGCCCAGAAUUGUUCGAAAACAAAGUAUGAUAUUUUGAGCUUCAAAAUCCUUUCUAAGUUUCUUUGUUUGAGCAAGUUUAAAACAUUGGAUUCAAGAUUUUGAAAUUCAUUUCCAUUUAAAAACCUGCUAAAACAAUGCUUUCCUAUUUUAAAGCUUCACUCCAGUGAAAAUCGUUUUCAAAGCAAAACAUAAAAUUUCAAAAAGCAUUAGGCUUCGAGUACUCCCCUGUAAACUGGUAGAAAGCACAAAACGAUAUCCAACUUCAUAAAUAAUAUCCAAAUAUGAAGAUCACUCAUAUGUAAUUCCUCAAAAUCCUUAGAGCACCUAAAAAUGUAUCUAAAAAGCAAAUAAGUAUGAAACGCAGCGAAAAAUUAAAAUCGUGCGAUAAUCGUGCGAAUGGUUUUUAUGCCCAGAAUUGUUCAGAAACAAAGUCUGAUGUUUUUAAGCUGCAAAAUCCUUUAUAACUUUCACUUAACACUACGAAAAUUAUGAAAACCAACGCAAGUUUUGCCGAGUUUCUUUGUUUGAGUGAGCUUAAAACAUUGGAUUCGAGAUAUUCAAAUUAAUUUCCACUUAAAAACCUGCUAAAACAAUGCCUUCAUAUUUUAAAGCUUGACUCCAGUGAAAAUCAUUU
rnacentral:lncRNA from 1 species